rnacentral:rRNA from 1 species
UACGUAGGGGGCAAGCGUUGUCCGGAUUUACUGGGCGUAAAGAGCGCGUAGGCGGAAGCUUAAGCGUGGCCUGAAAGCCCCCGGCUCAACCGGGGAGGGUGGCUGCGAACUGGGCUUCUUGAGGUCGAUAGAGGAGAGCGGAAUUCCUGGUGUAGCGGUGAAAUGCGUAGAUAUCAGGAGGAACACCGGUGGCGAAGGCGGCUCUCUGGGUCGGACCUGACGCUGAGGCGCGAAAGCUAGGGUAGCAAACGGG